GGAAGUGCUUGCAUGCCUGGUGGUGGCCGCGGUCUUCAAAACCGUUGGGCCGUGCGUACCCGUGCGGCCGGUGGGUUCGAUUCCCAUGCACUUCCGCCA
rnacentral:tRNA from 1 species